rnacentral:rRNA from 1 species
GAUGAACGCUAGCGACAGGCCUAACACAUGCAAGUCGAGGGGUAGCACAGGAUAGCUUGCUAUUUGGGUGACGACCGGCGCACGGGUGAGUAGCGCGUAUGCAACCUGCCUAUAAGAGGGGGAUAGCCUUUCGAAAGAAAGAUUAAUACCGCAUAAUACUAUUUACCUGCAUGGGUAAAUAGUUAAACUAUUUGGCUUAUAGAUGGGCAUGCGUUCCAUUAGAUAGUUGGUGAGGUAACGGCUCACCAAGUCAGCGAUGGAUAGGGGUUCUGAGAGGAAGGUCCCCCACACUGGUACUGAGACACGGACCAGACUCCUACGGGAGGCAGCAGUGAGGAAUAUUGGUCAAUGGGCGAGAGCCUGAACCAGCCAAGUCGCGUGAAGGAUGAAGGUCUUAUGGAUUGUAAACUUCUUUUAUAAGGGAAUAAAAAAGAUCACGUGUGGUCUAUUGCAUGUACCUUAUGAAUAAGCAUCGGCUAACUCCGUGCCAGCAGCCGCGGUAAUACGGAGGAUGCGAGCGUUAUCCGGAUUUAUUGGGUUUAAAGGGUGCGUAGGCGGUUUAUUAAGUCAGUGGUGAAAGUUUUCGGCUCAACCGGAAAAUUGCCAUUGAAACUGAUAGACUUGAGUGUAAACGAGGUAGGCGGAAUUCGUGGUGUAGCGGUGAAAUGCUUAGAUAUCACGAANAACUCCNNUUGCNAANNCAGCUUGCUGGACUGUAACUGACGCUGANGCACGAAAGCGUGGGGAUCAAACAG